UACGGAGGGGACUAGCGUUGUUCGGAAUUACUGGGCGUAAAGCGCACGUAGGCGGAUUUGUAAGUCAGGGGUGAAAUCCCGGGGCUCAACCUCGGAACUGCCUUUGAUACUGCAAAUCUCGAGUCCGGAAGAGGUGAGUGGAAUUCCUAGUGUAGAGGUGAAAUUCGUAGAUAUUAGGAAGAACACCAGUGGCGAAGGCGGGUCUCUGGGCCGUAACUGACGCUGAGGAGCGAAAGCGUGGGGAGCGAACAGG
rnacentral:rRNA from 1 species